rnacentral:rRNA from 1 species
GCUUGUCUCAAAGAUUAAGCCAUGCAUGUCUAAGUAUAAAUAGUAUACAGUGAAACUGCGAAUGGCUCAUUAAAACAGUUAUAGUUUAUUUGAUAAUUGAAAAUUACAUGGAUAACCGUGGUAAUUCUAGAGCUAAUACAUGCUAUCAAGCCCGACUUCUUGAAGGGUUGUAUUUAUUAGAUACAAACCAAUAUUCUUCGUGUCUAUUGUGAUGACUCAUAAUAACUGAUCGAAUCGCAUGGUCCUUGACCGCGAUAAAUCAUUCAAGUUUCUGCCCCAUCAGCUUUCGAUGGUAGUGUAUUGGACUACCAUGGCUUUAACGGGUAACGGAGGAUUAGGGUUCGAUUCCGGAGAGGGAGCCUGAGAAACGGCUACCACAUCUAAGGAAGGCAGCAGG